UGGGGAAUAUUGCACAAUGGGGGAAACCCUGAUGCAGCAACGCCGCGUUCGGGAUGACGGCCUUCGGGUUGUAAACCGCUUUCAGCCAUGACGAAGCCUUUGUGACGGUAGUGGCAGAAGAAGCACCGCCUAACUACGUGCCAGCAGCCGCGGUGAUACGUAGGGUGCGAGCGUUGUCCGGAAUUAUUGGGCGUAAAGAGCUUGUAGGCGGUUUGUCGCGUCGAAAGUGUAAACUCAGUGCUUAACGCUGAGCCUGCUUUCGAUACGAGCUGACUAGAGGAAGGUAGGGGAGAAUGGAAUUCCCGGUGGAGCGGUGGAAUGCGCAGAUAUCGGGAGGAACACCAGUGGCGAAGGCGGUUCUCUGGACCUUUCCUGACGCUGAGAAGCGAAAGCGUGGGUAGCAAACAGG
rnacentral:rRNA from 1 species